rnacentral:rRNA from 1 species
AGCGAACGCUGGCGGCAGGCUUAACACAUGCAAGUCGAGCGGGCACCUUUCGGGGUGUCAGCGGCGGACGGGUGAGUAACGCGUGGGAACGUGCCCUCUGGUUCGGAAUAACUCAGGGAAACUUGAGCUAAUACCGGAUACGCCCUUUUGGGGAAAGGCUUGCUGCCGGAGGAUCGGCCCGCGUCUGAUUAGCUAGUUGGUGAGGUAACGGCUCACCAAGGCGACGAUCAGUAGCUGGUCUGAGAGGAUGUUCAGCCACACUGGGACUGAGACACGGCCCAGACUCCUACGGGAGGCAGCAGUGGGGAAUAUUGGACAAUGGGCGCAAGCCUGAUCCAGCCAUGCCGCGUGAGUGAUGAAGGCCUUAGGGUUGUAAAGCUCUUUUAUCCGGGACGAUAAUGACGGUACCGGAGGAAUAAGCCCCGGCUAACUUCGU